CUGGAUAUAGUUCAGCAGGAGAGCAUCUGCCUUGAAUGCAGAAAGUCCCUGGUUCAAUCCCUGAGGUUCCAGA